AUCUCUAAAAGUCCUCUGAUAUACCAAACAAUUUUAGUGAAUUCCCAGCCUAGAAGGAGGGUAGCAGGAGCCCCAUGCAAGGGUCACUUGUUCCCGGCCUUCACAGAUGCUUUGCUCCCUUUCCAUCAGUUUCUCCCAAUAGCUGUGGUUUCUAUCUUACAUUUUAGGCCUUUAGGCUUGAAGAUAAUAUUGCAGAAUAUCCGGUGCAACUGGAGGCUGGCCUUACAGAGGUUUCUUGGCACCAGCCACCAGAGUCCUUAUGUUGUCAUUGCUGGGUAUGCUGCCAAGCACAAAGAGCACCUUGAUGUAUCCACUUGCGUGGAUGCCCCAGGGCACUGGAGCCCUAUCGCGGAGCCCAUGGAUACCAGAGCAGAAGAGAAGAGGUUAACAAAGGGUUUCCCAGCAAGAGGCCAGCGGCAAAACCCAGGUUAAGGCCGCCUGCACCCCUCCCCCGGCCUUCCCCUGCGGCAGGAGCCCUGGCCAUGCCACUCAAGUGCUUCUGUCCCCACCAGCUCCUGUCCCACUUGUGUGAUGUAAAGCAAUCCUUUUGUUUCCAAUUUAAGACAUGAGCCUCGGGGGCCAUUAUAGGGAAGAAAGGUAGCUGGGGCCCUUUUAUCUGAAGGAAUCCAUUAGGAGUGGGGGGUGCUUUCCUUCCUCCCUGCCUAGGGAUCUGCCCUGCUCCUUGGCUGUCUCCUCCCUGCUCCAGGGCCACAUCCCUCUGCUCCAAGGCCACCUCCUGAGUGCUCCAGGGACAGCUCCUCACUGACACAUGGCCACCUCCUUGCUGCUCUUGGCCAUUACAACCCAAAAAGCGGGUAAAUGCAGCAUCGCCACCAGACAGAAGCAUACAGAAAUCCUGAGUCGGCUGCUCAGCCUCCCAGUGAAGUGAAAAAGAUAGCAUGUGGUUUUAGCACACCUCAGAGUAACACAGUGGCUUUCUCCUUGCUGACAACUGGGACUGCUGAGGGAUCUGUCAUGUCAGUGACUGAAGACUCACUCUUGCUUUGUUUAUUCUUGCCUUGAAAACAGCAGUUCCCAUCAUCCGCAUGACUCCAGGACGUGAAACUUUAAAUAAUGACCCCAAAUGUUAUGAGAUUUUUGAAAGCACCAGAAUAAAAAUAAAGAAAUAGACA
rnacentral:lncRNA from 1 species